AUUGUAGAUUGUCACAUCAAAACUAUGAAUGAACACAUGUGGAGUUAUGUACUUAACAGAAAAAAAGGUGAAAUAACUGAAAACAUGUUUUAUAUUCUAGUGUCUUCAAAAUAGCCACCCUUUGCUCUGAUUACUGCUUUGCACACUCUUGGCAUUCUCUCCAUGAGCUUCGAGAGGUGGUCACCUGAAAUGGUUUUCAGAGUUUGCCCAAUGUCUGGUUUGCAUGGCUACAAUCAGAGUUCAACGUGCACGGCAAGGUCAACUAUCUAUGGAGCCAAGCAGGGUGUCCAUCAAGAGAGGGCUUAUAUCCCGCUGAGGUCUCGUCCUGACGGUGGUCCUAAGGUCUGUGGGGGGUCCCUGUGUGCAGCGUCGGGGACUCGGACUUGAUGCGUGUGCUCGCCUGCGUGGCUGCUUGAUGUCUGCUGAGGAAGGAGGAAGAUCCCGGGAUCAUAAAGGAAACCCAGGCGGAGGUGAAGUCAUGCAUCCGGGUGUGAGGCGCAUGUGUGUGUGUGUGUGUGUGUUUACUGUUUAGUGGAGGUGCAACAGUGCCAUCCUGCGGCAAAAGACGGAACUGCAUGUGAAGUAAGAAGUUGGAGGCUUUUGUUGUGUGAAAAAAACAACCAAUUUAAAACAGUAUUUUUAGUACGAAUGCUGAGAUAAUAACAAUAAUAAUAUUAAAGCUGCAAGCAGCGAUGGACGGGACCGACUUUGACGGCACAUAAAAUCCAAACUGGAGCAGUAAUUAAAACUCUUUGGUCAAAUUUUAAUCAGAAGGGUUCAAUCUCUCUCCUGUACUAGUUUGAAGCCGACGCGACAAACGCGCUCAGAGGAGAUAAUGUUUGAAAAAAGGUGACCGUUUUUUACAAAACUUUGGUUUUGAAGGGGGAAUUGCAAACUUCCUGUUGAUUUUUGCUGGGGGUUGUCAAUCUAUGAAAUGUAGGUCUAAGUGAGACCUACAUAGAAGUUUUUGUUUCAUGUCUGUAAGACAUUCCUACUGGAAGUUACAGUCAGUUCUGUCUGUGUUUUCUUCCUAGGAGCAGUUGUGUCUGUGUUUUUUCCUAGGGGGUGCUAAAGCGCAAUUUUGAGUUUUGGGGUUUGGUUUUUUUUAUUAGAUGGCAAUUUUCGCCAGUCCUGAUGUGUUUGUCAAAUAUGGUGAGUUUUGAAGCAUGUUAAGGGUCAAAUUACAGCUCAAAGAGGCGGCGGAAUAAUAAUAAUAAUAAAACGCACGAAAUACAAUAGGGUCCUCUGUCCCAAAGGGACAUUGCGGCCCCUAAUUACACAAAAAAAUCUAAUUAAACACUUUAAAUGGGCGUCAUAACGGUUGCUAUUAAGUAUUAACUUUGUCAACAGCAGUGGUGUGCCAUCAGGGCCAGCGAGGCCUUCUCUGCUGGCCUAACAUAACCAGAAAUCAUGAUCAUAAUUAAAGAUACAAUUUUUUCCCAUAAAUAUCUUAAAGUAUUCAUAUUCUCUUCAUGUCGUACUAUGCUCUUUCCAGCGCUGUUUUUUUUUUUUAGUUUAUAGAGUUUCUAUCCAAUCAGAAUUCAGCUAGCUUAUGCUGCCAUGCUGUACCAAAUCUGCCGGAGGCCUUCAUAAUCAACAAUGUCUGUGCACUGUAAGUGAACGGGCACAUACAGUUGACAGACAGUUGGAUAGCCAAUCAGAUCACGAGUUGUCAGUAAGGCCUUCUAGCUGGCCUAAGGCAGAUAUAUAUUGUGGUGUUAUGAGCAAAGUAACAUAAGAACUCCAUUACCCAGCAUGCCACAGUAGUGAAGAGCAUGCACAGUAGCCACGUUCAGGUUGUUGAAUGUAGCCAUGCCGGCAGCUGGAUGUUAUUGACGAGCACGCUCUGGAGUAAACUUUAAAAAGUCAGCCAACAGGCCUCGUCUCCAUCUUUUAUGAUUAGACAACACAUAUAUUUGCAAGCCCAUUUUCAAGAAGGAUAUUUAAAGAGAAACUACAUCUUGUGAGACCAUGUCGGCCAGCUCAGCUGUCCCGGCGAUGAAAUGUGAGUUCAGAUAUUUUAUUUCUUUAUUAUUUCACGUUUAAUAUGUUUUUUGCAAUUUACCUUUUUGU